rnacentral:rRNA from 1 species
GGAUGAACGUUGGCGGUGUGCCUAAUACAUGCAAGUCGAACGGAGAUAGUAGCAAUAUUAUCUUAGUGGCGAACGGGUGAGUAACGCGUUGGUGAUCUGCCUCGAAGUGUGGAAUAACGCUCCGAAAGGAGCGCUAAUACCGCAUGUGCUCUACAAGUUUAGAAAUUGUAGAGUAAAGGAUUUAUUCGCUUCGAGAGGAGCCUGCGUCCCAUCAGCUAGUUGGUAGGGUAAAAGCCUACCAAGGCUAUGACGGGUAGGGGACCUGAGAGGGUGGCCCCCCACAAUGGAACUGAAACACGGUCCAUACACCUACGGGUGGCAGCAGUAGGGAAUAUUAGAAAUGGACGAAAGUCUGAUCUAGCGACACCGCGUGUGCGAAGAAGGCCUUCGGGUUGUAAAGCACUUUUUGGAAGGAAUAGGAAGGAAGGUACUUCCAGAAUAAGUCUCGGCUAACUACGUGCCAGCAGCCGCGGUAACACGUAGGAGGCAAACGUUAUCCGGAUUUACUGGGCGUAAAGCGCGUGUAGGUGGUUCUGUAAGUAGGGCGUGAAAGCUCCCGGCUCAACUGGGAGAGGCCGUUCUAAACUGCAGAGCUAGAGGAUGGUAGAGGGAGGUGGAAUUCCAGGUGUAGCGGUGGAAUGCGCAGAUAUCUGGAGGAACACCAGUGGCGAAGGCGGCCUCCUGGACCAUUCCUGACACUCAGACGCGAAAGCUAGGGUAGCAAACGGGAUUAGAGACCCCGGUAGUCCUAGCCCUAAACGAUGUAGACUAGACGUCGGCGGUGUAAAAACUGUCGGUGUCCAAGCUAACGCGAUAAGUCUACCGCCUGGGGACUACGGCCGCAAGGUUA